CCGGAUGGUUACACUUCUUGUUUUUUCAAGAAUGCAUGGGGGAUUAUUGGUGAUGAGUUUGUGGGCGCAAUCAUGGAGUUCUUCUCUUCGGGUUCUAUGCUCAAACAACUCAACCAUUCCGUUAUUGCUUUGGUGCCUAAGUCGGAUCAUGCUUCGCAUGUUGGGGAUUUUAGACCUAUUUCUUGUUGUAACGUGAUCUAUAAAGUGAUCACCAAAAUUCUUGCAUCAAGAUUAAGGCCUAUAUUGGGAGAUAUUGUUGACCAAGCACAAGCCGCCUUCAUUGAAGGUAGAAGCAUGACGGAAAAUAUUCAUCUUGCUCAAGAGCUUAUGAGGCAAUACAAUAGGAAGAUAGUUGUUCCGAGAUGCCUCCUUAAAAAUGAUAUUAGCAAAGCCUUUGACUCUGUUAGUUGGGACUUCCUCAAGAGUGUUCUUGAAGGGUUGAAUUUUCCAUUGAGAUUUGUUCAAUGAAUUAUGGAGUGUGUUACCACUCCGACAUAUUCGGUUGCUUUGAAUGGAAGUAUGCAUGGUUUCUUCAAAGGCGGGAAAGGCCUUCGGCAAGAUAAUCCACUCUCCCCUUUCUUGUUCGUUAUUUGUCUUGAAUAUUUUUCUAGAAUGAUCAAGGAUGCUACAAAUGAUAGUGAUUUUAAUUAUCACCCAAAAUGUGGUCCCCUCAAGAUAACUCACUUGGCUUUUGCGGAUGACUUGAUGCUUUUUGCAAUGAGUGAUGCUAUGUUCGUUGAAAUUCUUAUCGAUUGCCUUGACAAAUUUGGUUUAGCAUCGGGUUUAAAAAUCAACACUAUGAAAUCCAGCAUCUACACAGCUGGAAUUUUUGGGUAUGAGCUUCAAACUAUCAUGAAAAUCUCAAAAUUUUCGCAAGGAUCUAUGCCUUUUCGUUACUUGGGUAUUCCUCUUGCAUCGGAGAAGCUUAAAGUGAGUUUUUAUGCACCGUUUCUUGAAAAAAUAGCGGGUUAUAUUGGAGUUUGGAGUUGUGCAUCCUUAUCCUAUGCCUACAAGUUGGAACUCAUUAAAGGCCGUGCUUCAAGGUGUUGAAUGUUUUUGACUUUCUGUCUUCCCCAUUCCGACUACAAUUAUUUCAAGAAUUGUUAGCUUUUGUCGGAACUUCCUUUGGGGAUCAAAGAAGCCAUUGGUUGCAUGGAAGAAUUUAUGCCUUCCAAAAGCGGAAGGGGGCCUUGGAUUGAAAGACUUGGAAUUUAGCGUUACUUGCUAAAUCCCUUUGGAACAUCCACAAGAAGAAGAACACCUUAUGGAUUAGAUGGGUUCAUCAUGCUUAUCUUAACGGCACUUGUAUUUGGGAGGUUCGUCCCAAAAAGGAUCACUCCCCACUUUUCAAGAAAUUACUUGAAAUCAGGGAUUUUAUUUCUGCUAAGGAAGCUGUCCAGCACACUGUAUUUUCGAGAUAGCAACAUGAAACAACGGCUCAACAUUUUCAGAUUGAUCAGGGGGUUAACGGGGACACAUCGACUGAUGGUAAGACAUUAAAUGGACGGUUUUUUGGGGCUGGGAGUGCUCUGCACGACCAGAAUUCGGGCCCUUCAUUCAGCAGCAUUUCUGGCAGGCAGACAGCUUUCUUCGGUAGGCAGUUUUUUGAAUCUUCGACUCAAAAUCUGGGUUGUUCUAUGCAUGAUAAAUUCUCAACAAAAAUUGCCUAUGAAUACUUUAGGCAUAAAGGUACUUUGAAGCCGUGUGAAGGAGAAGUUUGGAAGCCGUGCAUCACUCCGAAGCAUUCUUUCUUGCUUUGGUUAGCAGCCCAAUCAAAGCUACUAACUAAAGACAAACUACUCUUCUUGGAUAUUGAUCGGAGGUGUGUCUUUUGAGGAAACUUGUGACCAUCUAUUCUUUAAGUGCUCCUUCACUUCCUCAUUAUGGGGGAGCAUUAGGAGAUGACUUGGCAUCACAAGAUCUAUGUCUACACUUGCCAUCGCGCUUAAGUGGAUGAAAAAGGAGAAUCGUGGAACUUCGUGGCUGACCAAGACGAAGAGAGUUGCUCUUGCUAGCACAGUUUACUACAUAUGGCUUACGAGGAAUAGGAAGAUUUUCUGUUGUCUGAAGGUGGUACACGAGCAGUAAGGGUAGGGAAGAUGGAUAUGCUGCGGUUCAGCAUUUUGUAAUUCAAUGUGGGAAUUUGUAAAUUAUUUUUUUUGAUCUGUAUAUACAAGAAUCUUGUUACUUUGAGGGAUGUGUUUGUAUCAUUAACAUUGCUCAAAUUCAUUUGUGUUAAUGAGGUUUUGUUAAUGAAAUUAGAUUUGGCAAGGAAAAAAUGUUAUACCCUUUGCCGGCCUGCCUUGUAGCAACUUUAUGAACUAAUACAGUUGAUCAUGAUUUGCACCUGGAUCACACCAGAGAAGAUUG
rnacentral:lncRNA from 1 species